rnacentral:rRNA from 1 species
UCCGGUGGCCAUAUCGAAGGGGCUCCACCCGUUCCCAUUCCGAACACGGCAGUUAAGCCCUUCAGAGCCCAUGGUACUGCACGGGUCAACUGUGUGGGAGAGUAGGACGCCGCCGGGA